CCUACGGGAGGCAGCAGUGGGGAAUAUUGCACAAUGGGGGGAACCUUGAUGCAGCAACGCCGCGUGGGUGAAGAAGUACUCCGGUAUGUAAAGCCCUGUCAGCAGGGAAGAAAAUGACGGUACCUGACCAAGAAGCCCCGGCUAACUACGUGCCAGCAGCCGCGGUAAUACGUAGGGGGCAAGCGUGAACCGGAUUUACUGGGUGUAAGGGGAGCGUAGACGGCAAGGCAAGUCUGGAGUGAAAGCCCGUGGCCCAACCACGGGACUGCUUUGGCAACUGUGUUGCUGGAGUGCAGGAGGGGUAAGCGGAAUUCCUAGUGUAGCGGUGAAAGGCGUAGAUAUUAGGAGGAACACCGGUGGCGAAGGCGGCUUACUGGACUGUAACUGACGUUGAGGCUCGAAGGCGUGGGGAGCAAACAGGAUUAGAUACCCGUGUAGUC
rnacentral:rRNA from 1 species